GGAGAGGUGCCGGAGCGGACGAACGGGACGGACUUGAAAUCCGUUGGGGGCGAUAAGCUCCCUCGUGGGUUCAAAUCCCACCCUCUCCGCCA
rnacentral:tRNA from 1 species